rnacentral:rRNA from 1 species
AUUGAACGCUGGCGGCAGGCUUAACACAUGCAAGUUCGAGCGGAGAGAGGUAGCUUGCUACUGAUCUUAGCGGCGGACGGGUGAGUAAUACUUAGGAAUCUGGCUAUUAGUGGGGGACAACAUUUCGAAAGGGAUGCUAAUACCGCAUACGUCCUACGGGAGAAGGCAGGGGAUCUUCGGACCUUGCGCUAAUAGAUGAGCCUAAGUCGGAUUAGCUAGUUGGUGGGGUAAAGGCCUACCAAGGCGACGAUCUGUAGCGGGUCUGAGAGGAUGAUCCGCCACACUGGGACUGAGACACGGCCCAGACUCCUACGGGAGGCAGCAGUGGGGAAUAUUGGACAAUGGGGGGAACCCUGAUCCAGCCAUGCCGCGUGUGUGAA